UCAUUUCAACCCUCAAGCUCUGCUUGGUGUUGGGGCUCUACGUCUGACGUAGGCCCUGAAAGGAAGUGGCGGGCUCGCUACAACUCCGAGCGUAGUAAUUCAUUAUCUCGCUAGGGAGGUGCGGCGUGCUCCUGCCGUUAAAGACCCCAUCUUUAACCAAGGUUGACCUCGGAUCAGGUAGGAAUACCCGCUGAACUUAA
rnacentral:misc_RNA from 1 species